rnacentral:rRNA from 1 species
CCUACGGGAGGCAGCAGUGAGGAAUAUUGGUCAAUGGACGAGAGUCUGAACCAGCCAAGUAGCGUGAAGGAUGGCUGCCCUAUGGGUUGUAAACUUCUUUUAUAUGGGAAUAAAACGUUCCACGUGUGGGAUUUUGUAUGUACCAUAUGAAUAAGGAUCGGCUAACUCCGUGCCAGCAGCCGCGGUAAUACGGAGGAUCCGAGCGUUAUCCGGAUUUAUUGGGUUUAAAGGGAGCGUAGGUGGAUUGUUAAGUCAGUUGUGAAAGUUUGCGGCUCAACCGUAAAAUUGCAGUUGAAACUGGCAGUCUUGAGUACAGUAGAGGUGGGCGGAAGUCGUGGUGUAGCGGUGAAAUGCUUAGAUAUCACGAAGAACUCCGAUUGCGAAGGCAGUUCACUGGACUGCAACUGACACUGAGGCUCGAAAGUGUGGGUAUCAAACAGGAUUAGAUACCCCAGUAGUC